UUCUCCUGAUGCAAUGCGGUACUCAAGCAGGCAAGCCAAAUUUUGAAAGGGCUUGCUUGCUUGAGUACCAGAUCAGGAGAGUUAGAGGCGCCGAUGGCCGAGAUGCUAGAUUGUUGCUGUCUGUCGCUG
rnacentral:ribozyme from 13 species